UUGUGGGUACUUAAACAACGAUAUAUAUAUAUACCUAAUAUAUAAGUAGUUAUAAAUACAUAGAAAACACCCAUGUCUCAGGAACAAAUAUUCAUGCUCGUCACACAAAUAUACAAAUAUACGUUCCAGGAUUUGAAUCUGGGACCAUCGGCUUCAUAGGCAGGGUCACUGGCAACUAGGCCAGACCGGUUCUCAUGUUUAACAGACAUAAAUACAUCAAAAAGUUAGAGCAUUGAUAAAGGGUUGUUGAUAACUGGAUGCCGAAAAACAUGAUUUAUAGAUGCAUAUUAACGCUAAAUAAUCAGUUGAUCAUCUCAUUAGCAAACACUUGGAAUAUAAACUGUAGAUAAAGUCAUCUUUGUCCAAGGCUGUAUGUUUUCAGAUGCAGGCAGUGGGUCAAAUUUGUUGGGAACGAAGACCUGACGAUACAUCUUCCCAUAGAAAAGUUACAUUUAUUGAAACAUGUAUGUGCAGAUCAUUUUGAAAAUAAAGCUUUUAAUAAAAAAAACAUGACUUAAAAACUGUAUUAACUGAAACUGUAUUAAAAUAAUUCGGGUCCACAUUAAGCCCGACCAGAUAUUAGUCCAAUCAAAGAACUAUCCACUAUAUAACAUACAAUUUAAAUGUGGACUCUAUGCUAACCUGAUUUCGAGUACAAAAUUUGCAGACAGGAGCCUAUGUUUCAACCCUCCCCAUUUUAUCGAUAUCGAUAAGAAUCGCAAGCGUGUAGCGUACUACACUGUUUAAAUCGGUUAUGUUGGUAUUAUGGUUCCUUGACAGUUCUUUGUCGUAGAUUUUGGUAAUGAUUUGCGAAACAAACUGAUUACAUUCGCUAGUAUGGAAGUCCCGUCUCUUAAAACGUAGUGAUUAUAUGCUCUUUGGGUACUUGGCUAAGUUAUAGGGACCGUGCGCGUUGGAGGGUCUGCCAUCUUGUGGCCUGAAUCGGAACUAUAAGCAUGUACGUUUACACAUCACGUGUUAUCUUGUGCAUAGUAGGUUCUGCCAUCUUGUGGGCUACAUCGGAACAAUAAACAUCACAUUUACGCCUCGCGCCAAAAAUAUGACGGCUCCUGUGCUGCCUCCUACAGUUUAUGCACGCUCUCUAUACUAAAUAUAAAUUUUACAGCCAUGUGGUUCAUGUGAAUGAGAGUUGGAGUGCCCGCUCUUUUGUAAAAAAAAAAACAUUGAUGUCAUGAUGACAUGAAACAAUAAUUUUAGAUCACAACACAAGUUAUAUUUAUUUUAUUUCUCAUAAUACGUUUAUAAAAAUUUCAAGAGAAUUUUGUAACGAAUGUUUUCGGCCGAAGCACUAAAUCUUUCAAGAGUUUUUUGUGUCCUGUCCUCGCACAUGAUACGAGUAUCCCGACCGCGCUUGCUGGCCGCGCGGCCGCUGCUGGUCCGGUGUCCGGCACCGGUACCCGCACUGUCUCCGCGGACACAGCGCCCAUCGUUGCUAGACACACGGCCGGUGUUGCGUGCGAGUGACGCCGCUGCUCGCCGCCGCUGCUGCAUCGGCUGCGUCGCCAAACUGGUCGACUCUUUCCUUACUAAUUACUCAUAAGUAGGUAUAAGUGAUCUUGUUAAUUCUGUGUAAGUCGAUUGAAUUGUUCAUGCAAACGUUUAGGAUUAUUUUUAUCGUAUUUACUUUGAUUUUGAUUAAUGUUUUUUUCAUCAUACCUGAAAUUUCGCUAAGUCGGUAUCAUACCCUUUUACCGCCAAAGACGUCCACAGAUACGCACGGUUUCCAUUUAAUGAAAAGUUCAUGAUUAACCUUCAUUCAUUCCAAUAAGGUCUACUAUGGAGUGUUGUAUAAAAUAGCCAUGGCGUAGUGUUAAUAACUGGUCGGUAAACGCCAUGGAUUCCCCUGCAGUUGUAAGCGUCAUCAGGCGGUCUGUAUACUUAUUUGUCACCGACUUAGAUAAAAAGUAUCUCAAUAACUUUUUUAUAACAUUCUAACACAGUAAAAUAUUGUGCGUUGAUACGUAGGUACUUACAUAUAAAAAAUGUAAAUGUAUGAAAAUAUUCCAUACAUUAUAUAUACGAAAGCCAUAAUGUAUAAGAUAAAAAUAUUCUAAAUGUGGCUAUUCUCAUGUAUACAGAGAGUUCAGAGACAACGUACGAAUAAUGGACAAUAUUCCUAUAGUUAUUUAUUGUACAUACCUAAUAAAUAGUCCAGUCAGAAUGA